UACGAGGGGGGCGAGCGUUGUUCGGAUUCAUUGGGCGUAAAGGGUGCGUAGGCGGCGUGGCAAGUCUGAUGUGAAAUCCCGGGGCUCAACCCCGGAACUGCAUUGGAUACUGCCAUGCUAGAGUACUGGAGAGGAGAUUGGAAUUUACGGUGUAGCAGUGAAAUGCGUAGAUAUCGUAAGGAAGACCAGUGGCGAAGGCGAAUCUCUGGACAGUUACUGACGCUGAGGCACGAAGGCCAGGGGAGCAAACGGG
rnacentral:rRNA from 1 species